rnacentral:tRNA from 1 species
GGGGAUUUAGCUCAGUGGUAGAGCGCUUGCCUAGCAAGCGCAAGGCCCUGGGUUCGGUCCCCAGCCCCCA